GACGAAAGCUGGCGGCGUGCCUAAUACAUGCAAGUUGAGCGCUGAAGGUUGGUACUUGUACCAACUGGAUGAGCAGCGGACGGGUGAGUAACGCGUGGGGAAUCUGCCUUUGAGCGGGGGACAACAUUUGGAAACGAAUGCUAAUACCGCAUAAAAACUUUAAACACAAGUUUUAAGUUUGAAAGAUGCAAUUGCAUCACUCAAAGAUGAUCCCGCGUUGUAUUAGCUAGUUGGUGAGGUAAAGGCUCACCAAGGCGAUGAUACAUAGCCGACCUGAGAGGGUGAUCGGCCACAGUGGGACUGAGACACGGCCCAAACUCCUACGGGAGGCAGCAGUAGGGAAUCUUCGGCAAUGGACGAAAGUCUGACCGAGCAACGCCGCGUGAGUGAAGAAGGUUUUCGGAUCGUAAAACUCUGUUGGUAGAGAAGAACGUUGGUGAGAGUGGAAAGCUCAUCAAGUGACGGUAACUACCCAGAAAGGGACGGCUAACUACGUG
rnacentral:rRNA from 1 species